CCUACGGGUGGCAGCAGUAGGGAAUAUUGCUCAAUGGGGGAAACCCUGAAGCAGCAACGCCGCGUGGAUGAUGAAGGUUUUCGGAUUGUAAACUCCUUUUGUUAGAGAAGAUAAUGACGGUAUCUAACGAAUAAGCACCGGCUAACUACGGGCCAGCAGCCGCGGUAAUACGGAGGGUGCAAGCGUUACCCGGAAUGACUGGGCGUAAAGAGCGCGUAGGCGGGGUAGCAAGUCAGAUGUGAAAUCCUAUGGCUUAACCAUAGGACUGCAUUUGAAACUGUUAGUCUAGAGUGUGGGAGAGGUAGGUGGAAUUCUUGGUGUAGGGGUGAAAUCCGUAGAGAUCAAGAGGAAUACUCAUUGCGAAGGCGGCCUGCUAGAACAUAACUGACGCUGAUGCGCGAAAGCGUGGGGAGCAAACAGGAUUAGAUACCCUUGUAGUC
rnacentral:rRNA from 1 species